rnacentral:rRNA from 1 species
AUUGAACGCUGGCGGCAGGCCUAACACAUGCAAGUCGAACGAGUGGCGGACGGGUGAGUCAUGUCUGGGAAACUGCCUGAUGGAGGGGGAUAACUACUGGAAACGGUAGCUAAUACCGCAUACCAUCGGCUUUGCACAUACGGGAUUAGCUAGUAGGUGGGGUAAAUGCUCACUUAGGCGACGAUCCCUAGCUGGUCUGAGAGGAUGACCGGCCCCACUGGAACUGAGACACGGUCCAGACUCCUACGGGAGGCAGCAGUGGGGAAUAUUGCAAAAUGGGCGAAAGCCUGAUGCAGCCAUGCCGCGUGUAUGAAGAAGGCCUUCGGGUUGUAAAGUACUUUCAGCGGGGAGGCGUUACCCGCAGAAGAAGCACCGGCUAACUCCGUGCCAGCAGCCGCGGUAAUAC